rnacentral:tRNA from 1 species
UAGGAAGUGGUGUAGUGGAAGCACUGAGAAUUUUGAUUUCUCCGGGUAGGGUUCAAAUCCCUUCUUUCUAA